rnacentral:lncRNA from 1 species
AACCUGCUGGGGUCCAGUUCCAGUCUGUGGGAGGUUUGUUCUUUCGCUCUUCUCAGUGACUCUUGCUGUUGCUCACUUUUUGGGGCUGCGCUAAUCUUUAUGAGCUGUAACACUCACUGCGAAGGUCUGCACUUCACUCCUGAAGACAGCGAGACCACGAAGGGAGACCACCGGGAGGGACGAACAACUCUGGAGUGCCAGCUUUAUGAACUGUAACCCUCACCGCGAAGGUCUGCAGCUUCACUCCUGAAGUCAGCGAGACCACAAACCCAGCAGUAGGAAGAAACUCCAGACACGUCUGAACAUCAGAAGGAACAAACUCUGGACACACCAUCUUUAAGAACUGUAACACUCACCACAAGUGUCCGCGGCUUCAUACUUGAAGUCAGUGAGACCAAGAACCCGCCAAUUCCGGACACAGUAGCUGGGAUUACAUGCGCCCGCCACCACACCCAGGCACUGAGAGUGGCAAGGCCAAAUGGAGAAAAAUAAUUCAGUCGACUGAGAAAAAAACCUCUUUCUAGCAAAACAAGAUCCAAGAAAAGAAAAACGUAAAGGCCUUUUAAAUAUACUUAUGACUUAUAUCCACUUAUAAUUAACCUGGGUGCUCUUUAAGAAAAUCUUUUUAACUCUCUUAUAACCUUAAUUUAGCCACGCCAGGGGGCCAAUAUUUCUGGCUUUCAAACUUCAUUAAAGGCUCAGAGAAAGGAAAAUUCAAGGCUGUUUGUGGAGGGGAAGAGAACAGAGAGCAAAGGUUGCGUAGAUACCAAACCAGAAAGGACUCAUUCCCUACACCAGGAUUGAACCCCAGGCCACCAUUGUAAAAUGGCGGAGGCCAAAACAAAACCAUUGUCACGUGGUUGCAGGCCACACUCCCAAAGAUGUGAAACAAGAUGGAGGCCUGCCACAGAGUUUGCUGCGGACUAUACAGAAAGACAUGGAAAGCACACCAGAUUGGCUACAACUCAAGACCAACCUCAUAAAUCCUUUUUCAUAAUUAAAACUUUACAGAGAAUAUAAACAGUGAUCUCUAUUAUUUUUGGCACAUCAAAAUGUCUUCCAAAAGGGAAAAAAAAACUCACUUAAAAGUCAACUGCUGACAGGGUAGGGAAAAGAAAAAAGAUGCCUGGGGAAGAACGUUUUAUUCUUUUGCAAAUGAGUUCCUCCACCAGGGAGAGUAACUUAAUUGCUGUCCGAUGGAGUGGGACCCCUUGGCUGGGGGAGGGGAAGGCUCUGUGGCUGUGUGGCAGGGAGCUGGCCAGCCUGCCUUUGGGCACCCUUGGGCCAUGCAUUCCAGCCCUGGCCAGGAGGGGAGCAGGAGAGCCACCAUUCACUGAUCUAUCCCACGUGCACCUGCAGCUGUUGUGGUGGGGUGGGGUACAGUUUUCUCUAUCCUCAGAAGAGGUAUGAGGACAAAAAGGCUUAGAAGCAAAAGAAAAAAAUGAUCUUUUGGUUUGCGUGAUACUCACCCUCCCUCACGCCCUAUGUCUGGAUGCCAAAAAUAUCAUAGAAAAAAAAAACUGCGUUCUUGUCACACGACCAGGAAAAGUUAGACACGCAGACGCUUUUAAGGGUGAGGGAGAAUGGAAUUUAUUGGGUGAAAAGGAAGAUAAACUCUCAGCAAAGUGAGAGAGGUUCCUGUUAACAGGCCCCCAUCUCACAGAUUGAGAAGGAACCACGCUCCUCCCCCUGCAAAUGGCAGGAACUUCCCAAGGCUCCACCCCAUCCACCCAGUGGGCAGGCCAGUGGAAGAUUCUCCAGGCCCCCUUAUCUUCCUUCUGUAUCUCAGGAGUUUGAGGCCAGCCUGGCCAACAUAGUGAAAUCCCGUCAUUACUAAAAAUACAAAAAUUAAUAGGGCAUGGUGGCACAUGACUGUAAUCCCAGCUACUCAGGGUGCUGAGGCAUGAGAAUAGUUUGAACCUGGGAGGUGGAGGUUGCAGUGAGCCAGUGAGCUGAGAUCAUGCCACUGCAUUCCAGCCUGGGUGACAGAGUGAGACUCUGUCUCAAAAACAAAAACAACCAACAAGACACUGCUGUACAAGUGAACUGAGAUAUCUAGUACAAAAUAAGCUUUGGGCCAGGUGCAGUGGCUCACACCUGUAAUCCCAGCACUUUGGGAAGCUGAGGCAGGUGGAUCACCAGAGAUCAGGAGUUCGAGACCAGCUUAGCCAACAGGGUGAAAACCCGUCUCUAGCAAAAAAUACAAAAAUUAGCUGGGUAUGGUGGCAUUCAUCUGUAAUCCUAGUUAGGAGGCUGAGGUGGGAGAAUCGCUUGAACUGGGGAGGUGGAGGUUGCAGUGAGCCAAGGUUGUGCCACUGUACUCAGCCUGGGUGACAAAGUGAGACCCUGUCUCAGAAAAAAAAAAGAAAAAAGCAAGCAAGCUUGUUUAUCCUAAGAAAGACUUUUUAAUAAGAGGGUUUGCCUUUGGUUAAAAGCUAUCUUAAAAAUUAGAUCUUUUAGUUUAUUUGUACAGUCAUAGGUUAGAUCUGAUACUGGUAAGACUGAUCUGGGGCUGAAGUCUCCUGUAUCUUAUGAAUAUCUUAUGAUUCUGUGAGUGAAUUCUGUGUGAAUGCUGAUAUAUGUAGAUGUCAAAAAAAGAGCCAAACUCUGUAAAACAUUUGAAGAGAUAUAUUCUGAGCCAAAUAUUAGUGGCCAUGGCCCAAGGCACAGUCUCAAGAGGUCCUGGGACAUGUGCCCACGGUGGUUGGGUUACAGCUUGGUUUUAUACCUUUUAGGAAGACAUAAGACAUUAAUCAUUGAUACAUGGUUUGGUCCAGAAUUGCAGAACAAUUUGAAGUGGAGGCUUACAGGUCAUAGGUAGAUUUAAAGAUUUUCUGAUUGGCAACUAGGCACGGUGGCUCAUGCCUGUAAUCCCAAUACUUUGGGAGGCCGAGGUGGGCAGAUCCCUUGAGACCAGGAGUUUGAGACUAGCCUGGCCAACCUGGUGAAACCUGAUCUUUACUAAAAAUACAAAAAUUAGCCCAGCAUGGCACAUGCCUGUAAUUCCAGCUACUCUGGAGACUAAGGCAUGAAAAUCACUUGAAACCUGGGAGGCAGAGGUUACAGUGGGCCAAGAUGGCACCACUGCACUCCAGCCUGGGCAACACAGCAAGACUGUCUCAAAAAAAUAACCAAAAAAACACAAACACGCAAAACCAAAAAAUUUUCUGAUUGUCAAUUGGUUGAAACAAUUAAGUUAUGAUCUGAAAGCCUGGAAUCAACAGAAAGAAGUGUCUGUGUUAAGAGAAAGGGUUGUGGAGACCAAAGUACUUAUUAUGUAGAUCAAAUGUCAGAACUGGCCACUCUUAGAGAUAAUAAGUGGCAAAUAUUUCCUAUUCAGACCUGUAAAAAGUGCUAGACUCUCAAUCUCUUCAGGAUUGGGAGGGUCUGGAAGGGAAAAUAUUUCAUUGUGUUAAUAGAUUCUUUACAGGAUGCAAAUCUCCCCCCAACAAAAGACAACUCCACAGAAUCAUUUCAAAGUAUGGCAAAGAAACAUAUUUUGUGUUAAAAUAUUUUGAUUUCCUCUUUAUCCGUCAUGUGAUGUUAUGCCAGAGUCAGGUUGGAAAGUAUUAUAUAGGGUUAAAUGCAACCCAUCUGGCAAGAUUUUAUGGUGUGUAGAGCAUGACUCCCAGGCCGCUUAGAUAGAAAUUUGGGCAAAAGGCCGGGCGCGGUGGCUCACGCCUGUAAUCCCAGCACUUUGGGAGGCUGAGGCGGGCGGAUCAUGAGGUCAGGAGAUCAAGACCAUCCUGGCUAACACAGUGAAACCCCAUCUCUACUAAAAAUACAAAAAAUUAGCCGAGCGUGGUGGCAGGCGCCUGUAGUCCCAGCUACUAGGGAGGCUGAGGCAGGAGAAUGGCGUGAACCUGGGAGGCGAAGCUUGCA